rnacentral:rRNA from 1 species
GACAGAGGGUGCAAACGUUGUUCGGAAUUACUGGGCGUAAAGCGCGUGUAGGCUGCUCGGAAAGUCGGAUGUGAAAGCCCGGGGCUUAACCCCGGAAUUGCACCUCAAACUACAUGGCUAGAGCAUUGGAGAGGGUAGCAGAAUUCACGGUGUAGCAGUGAAAUGCGUAGAUAUCGUGAGGAAUACCAGAGGCGAAGGCGGCUACCUGGACAAUUGCUGACGCUCAGGCACGAAAGCGUGGGGAGCAAAAGGG